rnacentral:rRNA from 1 species
UAGGGAAUCUUCGGCAAUGGGGGGAACCCUGACCGAGCAACGCCGCGUGAGUGAAGAAGGUUUUCGGAUCGUAAAGCUCUGUUGUUAAGGAAGAACGAGUGUGAGAAUGGAAAGUUCAUACUGUGACGGUACUUAACCAGAAAGGGACGGCUAACUCCGUGCCAGCAGCCGCGGUAAUACGUAGGUCCCGAGCGUUGUCCGGAUUUAUUGGGCGUAAAGCGAGCGCAGGCGGUUAGAUAAGUCUGAAGUUAAAGGCAGUGGCUCAACCAUUGUAGGCUUUGGAAACUGUUUAACUUGAGUGCAGAAGGGGAGAGUGGAAUUCCAUGUGUAACGGUGAAAUGCGUAGAUAUAUGGAGGAACACCGGUGGCGAAAGCGGCUCUCUGGUCUGUAACUGACGCUGAGGCUCGAAAGCGUGGGGAGCGAACAGG